CUGGUUUUGCUUCCCCGUUGAGUUUACCAUGUCCAAAAUAAACCUUCUGAGAUCGUUCGUCAUCGAGCGACUAACUGCAGCAGCUGAGGAGAUAUUAGGAGCUUUCGAGAGGACCAUAGCGGAGUAUGAGGACGAGAGAGAGCGACAGAGGAGACUGCUGGACAUGGUGUUGAAGCCCAGGAUCACGUUACACAGAAUAGACUAUGUACAGGUAUCUCAUCAGCAGCAUCAUAAGCAGGAGAGGAGCCCCACUCUGGCUAAGGAGGAACAACAGGAACUCUGGAUCAGUCCACAGGAAGACCACCUUCCAUUGCAGGAGGUAGCUGAUACCUCUGAGUCCAUAUUUACCCCUCUUUGUGAUGGAAAUGAUGAUAGUAAAGAUCAGCCUCUGUCCUCACAACUCUAUCAAACUCAGACAGAGGGAGACACAAAGCCCCCAGCUGUCCCCCCAUUUGAACUGAUACAACUGGAUGUCAAAGAAGAGAACUUGCUAAUAUCAGAACCAACAAGUGACCACCAUACCCUCUCUAACUACUGUUAUGUGACUAAGAGUGAAGCUGACCAUACUUGCAGUCAUCUGAACUGCGCGGAAGCAGAUUCAACUUGGAAAGCCAGGCUGAAACCUCACAAAAAGCCCAACAAGUGCAAAAUUUGUGGGAAAGUGCUUUAUAAUUUGGAAAUUUUCAAAAGUCACAUGACAUUUCACACAGGUGAAAAGCCUUUCAAAUGCACCACUUGUGGGAGAGAUUUUACCUGGAAGUGUAACAUGGAGAGGCAUACAAGGACUCAUGCAGGGGAGGAGCCAUUCAGAUGCACCACGUGCCGGAAAAUGUUUACCGAUGAGUCACGUUUUCAGAGGCACAUAAGGACUCAUACAGGGGAGAAGCCAUUCAGAUGCACCAUGUGCGGGAAAAUGUUUACCCAGAAGUCAAGUUUUCAAAGGCACGUAAGGACUCAUACAGGGGAGAAGCCAUUCAGAUGCACCACAUGUGGGAAAAUGUUUACCCAGAAGUCAAGUUUUCAAAGGCACAUAAGGACUCAUACAGGGGAGAAGCCAUUCAGAUGCACCAUGUGCGGGGAAAUGUUUACCCGGAAGUCAAGUUUAGAAAUGCAUGUAAGGAUUCAUACAGGGGAGAGGCCAUUCAGAUGCACCACCUGUGGGAAAAUGUUUACUCGGAAGUCACAUUUGCGAACGCACGUAAAAACUCAUACAGGGGAGAAGCCAUUCAGAUGCACCAUGUGCGGGAAAAUGUUUACCCGGAAGUCAAGUUUACAAAUGCACGUAAGGAGUCAUACAGGGGAGAAGCCAUUCAGAUGCAACAUGUGCGGGAAAAUGUUUACUCGGAAUUCAGAUUUACAAAUGCAUGUAAGGACUCAUACAGGUGAGAAGCCGUUCAGAUGCACCACAUGCGGGAAAAUGUUUACCCGUAAGUCACAUUUACUAAGGCACAUGAGGACUCAUAUACAAGGGAGAAGACAUUCAGAUGCUGUAAUUGUGGAAAUGGGUUCAGCUCAAAACGUCAUCUCAAACAACAUGUCAUGAUCCACACAGGUGAGAUUGGCAUUUCCACUGCCAAUAGUGGGUCAGCUGCAUGACCUGAACCCAGGCGAUUGGGUGCUGAUAAAUGACCUAAAGAGAAAAAAUUGGCGAAGCCCCGUGGGCGAGGUCCCACCAAGUGCUCUUGGCCACACCUACGACGAUGAAGGUGGAGGGGAGAAUCAGCUGGACACAUGCCAACCACUGCAAGAAGGUGCCACCACUGGAAACAGAGGUCAGGGUGAGAGACCCGCUCCACUCACAAUCGAGGAAGAGAAGUAGACGUGGCCAGCUCUAAAUGAGGUUUAGAAACGUACAGAGUUCUGCUCCUCAGAGCAUCAAAGCCACUGCACCCACUGUGGUUUUACCUCGAAUCCCUCCUACUUCCUCCAAUGGUUGAGGUUAUGUUGGAAGUUCAAAUUGUCCCAUCAGGAGUUCUGCUCCUCAGAAUGUCAAAGCCACUGCACCCACCAUGGGUAUACCUCGAAUCCCUCCUACUUCCUCUAAUGGAGUUCUGCUCCUCAGAGCCUCAAAACCUUUGCACCUGCUGUGGUUCUACCUGGACUCACUCCUACCUCCUGCAGUGAUGGGUAUUUCGUUAGACCUGCGACUGGUCCUACCAGGAGCUCUGCUCUUCAGACUGGUACAGUCUGUGCUCUUGCCAUGGUGGAUCCUCCUGCAUUCUUCAGUAGAAAGAGAGGAAGAGAAAUUAGCAUGUGCCCAAUUUCUCAUUUUGGUCCUGGGCACAGGAGAGCGAGGUGAUUUAUAAUGGCCCAACAGCUCACUGAACCAGUCUGUGGUAAAAAGAGCAGAGAGACCAGUGGUAAAGAAGAUUCCUACCCAGACUGCAAGAAGGUCAAGAAGGUACAGGGGGACUCAUGCCACCGAUUUGUUGGUUAACUCUGCAAAAUGCCCUGACACAAAUGCUUUCUACUGUCCUCUGUUGUCACUGUAAAUAUUAAUAAACAUA